rnacentral:rRNA from 1 species
AUUGAACGCUGGCGGCAUGCCUUACACAUGCAAGUCGAACGGCAGCACGGGUGCUUGCACCUGGUGGCGAGUGGCGAACCGGUGAGUAAUACAUCGGAACAUGUCCUGUAGUGGGGGAUAGCCCGGCGAAAGCCGGAUUAAUACCGCAUACGAUCUACGGAUGAAAGCGGGGGACCUUCGGGCCUCGCGCUAUAGGGUUGGCCGAUGGCUGAUUAGCUAGUUGGUGGGGUAAAGGCCUACCAAGGCGACGAUCAGUAGCUGGUCUGAGAGGACGACCAGCCACACUGGGACUGAGACACGGCCCAGACUCCUACGGGAGGCAGCAGUGGGGAAUUUUGGACAAUGGGCGAAAGCCUGAUCCAGCAAUGCCGCGUGUGUGAAGAAGGCCUUCGGGUUGUAAAGCACUUUUGUCCGGAAAGAAAUCCUUGGCCCUAAUACGGUCGGGGGAUGACGGUACCGGAAGAAUAAGCACCGGCUAACUACGUG